GGAGGAGUGGCAGAGUGGUCGAAUGCACCGGUCUUGAAAACCGGAAUCUGCGAAAGCGGAUCGUGAGUUCGAAUCUCACCUCCUCCG
rnacentral:tRNA from 1 species